CCCAGCCGGGCCCUCCCCUUUCCGCGGGAGGCGUCCAGGACAGUGGCUUGGUGGCGCGCAGUUCCCCCUGACUGUGCGCGCCCGCGUGUGGGCUCCUUUGCAGAGGACUCGGUAGCUGCAGCUCCCGGAGCACAGCGGACAGAGCUGCGGGCUGCGUGCGCCCCUGCUGCCACCGGGCCUGCCGCGGUGGCUCCCGCGCCCCGCGGCGACUUCCGCUCCCGCGCUUCUCUUUGUUCAAGUCCCCGAGCGGCGGCGGGGUCGGAGCCCGCGCCUUGGGCGACUGAGGCGGCCGCAGUCCGCGCCCCGGCGCCCUGGCGAUGCCGGACCAGAUCUCUGUGUCGGAAUUCGUGGCCGAGACCCUUGAGGACUACAAGGCGCCCACUGCCUCUAGCUUCACGCGCACGGCCCAGUGCCGGAACACCGCGGCGGCCAUCGAGGAGGAUGCAGUGACUUAUGAUGAUGUGCACGUGAACUUCACUCGGGAAGAGUGGAAUUUGCUGCAUCCUUCCCAGAAGAGUCUUUACAAAGAUGUGAUGCUGGAGACCUACUGGAACCUCACUGUUAUAGGCUACACUUGGGAAAACCAUCAUAUUGAAAGACAUUGUCAAAGUUCAAGAAGAAAUGAAAGGUUUAGUCUCCACUGCCAGCUGCCAUAGGCAAGCAGAACAGCAAGCUGGGUCCUGAGGUGCUGCAGGACCUGCGGAAACACAGGGAGUUCACUGACCAUGAGCUUCAGGAGUGGUAGAAGGACUCCCUCAAUGACUGUCCCACUGGCUACCUGACUGUGGACAAUUUUAAGAUCUAGGCCAACUUCUUCCCCUACAGAGACACCUCCAAGAUCACUGAACAUGUCUUCCACACCUUUGUCACCAACAGUGACGUCUCCAUCGACUUCCGAGUGUUCAUCAUUGCUCUGAGCCUGACCUCUCGGGGCAAGCUGGAACAGAAGGUCAAGUGGGCCUUCAGCAUGUCUGACCUAGACAGCAAUGGCUACAUCAGCUUCAGUGAAAUGCUGGAGUUAGUGCAGGUACCUGCACUUGACAGGGCCUGGCACAUGGGGAGUGCAGGCAUCCAGGACCCCCAUCCCCAGCCCCAUACACCAGGUCAUUCCUCUGCCCUCUUGCUACCUGGUGUACUAAAGGACUGCAUGUCUUUGCACAGAAUAACAAUAAAAGCCAAGCAUCUAUCGAUUGCUUGCUGGACAUCAGGCCCCAGCUGAGCUCAUCCAUCAGGUUUAUUCACACAAUUCUAUAAAACGGGUCUUUUUUUUUUUUUUUUAACCUCUCUGAGAUCUGAGGCUCAGAUAGGUGAUUAAGAAUUGUCAAAGCAAGAACUGGGAAAAUGGCUCAGUGUUGAAGAACACUUGAUACCCAUCAUGAGGACCUGAGUUCUGAUCCCAACACCCAUGGAAAAGCCAGUAGUGGCUGAGCAUGCCCGAAACCCUAGAACUAGGGGAAGCGUGAGUCCCAGAAGCUUGCUGAGCAGGCAGCCUAGCUAAAAUGGUAAGCCCCGGCCGGGUUCAGUGAUAGAGAAAAGGGAACCUUGUGAACACCAGUAUUCCUGUUUGGCCUCUGCACGGGUGGGUGUUCAUCUGCACACACAUGUAUAACAUACACACACAUUAGCUGUCUAUAGGGCUUCCUUUAGAAAUCAGAACGACACAGUAAAGGAUGAGUCAGCAGUCAGUUCUUCACAGGAGCGAUGCUUAUGUGCACCCUGCAUCCUUCCUGCUCCAUGCUCUAAACCAUCUCUGUAUUUGGUCCAGUGGGCUGACUCUGUGGGUAAAGGUGCUUGCUACCAAGCCUGGCAGCCUGGGUUCGAUCCAUAAGACCCACAUGGUAGGAAAAGAGAACCAGCUUCCACAAGUUGUCCUCUGAAUUCCACGUGAGAUCAUCUCCCCCAAAUAAAUAAUUACAUACAUCCAUAAAAUAAGUAAAGUAGUUAUAUACAGUGCCUAAUACAAGAUCUAUAGAUGUUAAUAAUAAUUUGUAUCAUUUGGGAAAUAACAAGAAACUGUGUGCCUCCAGUUUCGUUUUCUAGACAAUUUCCCACCUGUAGUUUGUUGAAUCUGCAGAUUCAGGACCCAUGGUUGGGCAGGGAUCAAUGUAUUUCCCCUUUGACCUUCCCUCCAGGAUUUCCCAGCUCCCCAUCAAAGAUUUUCCUUUCAGACAGAUGCUUUGUCACACAACCUCCCCUCUACUCUGAACCAAGGAGCCCUCCAUUCUUCCACGCCCCAGCUGUAUCCUGUGCUCUUGAACGUCACUUAAACUUUCCUGGCUCCCUUUGCCCAGCACCUUGUCUGUGAGACUUGUUGUGAUGAGAGAAGGGUCCUGAAUCUGCCCUGUCCAUGCUCCUUGGUUAGCAGAGCGAGGACCAUAACCCACCCUCCGUCCUCCAGAGCACACUCACAGAUGCCCCUUUGCAGGCCAUCUACAAGAUGGUGUCCUCCAUGAUGAAGAUGCCCGAGGACAAGUCCAUGCCUGAGAAUCGAACAGACAAGAUCUUCAGGCAGAUGGACACAAACAAUGAAGGCAAAAUGUCCCUGGAAGAAUUCAACAAAGGUGCCAAGAGCGACCCAUCCAUUGUCCGGUUGCUGCAGUGUGAUCCCAGCAGUGCUAGCCAGUUCUGAGGGGAAUGGGCUUUUACACAGUUGUGAGAAACACAGGCUUGACCUGCCAUCUUCAGCUUUGCUUGCAAAAGUGGUUUUCUCCGUGAUUUCUCCUGCUCUCUAGGGACCUGGGUCCAGACAGCACAUCACACUCACCUGGUCUGGCUGGAUGCAGCUCCCUCCUCUGUCUGAUCCAGAUAGAUGUCCCUCCCCAUCCAGUCCAGGCUGGUUCCUUCCAAGGUUUCAAGUGUUCUCAGCUGUAGGGCUCCUUCCCUGCCCACAGAGGGCCUGGAGGCCCUUAAGGACACCAGACAGGACUUUUCAAUAUCUUACCGAGACCAGCUGAUUUAUUCUAUGAUCCCAGCUGACUUUGUGAGGAUGAAGAUGGAGAGUAGAUAGGCAAGCCCUUCCUGUGCAUGGCUCCACCUCCCUUGUUCAUUUGCUCUGACCAAAGCUGUUUGCAUGUAUAUACUGCGGUAUCCUUUCUUUUAAUAUAUAAGUUUUGUAUAAAGUGAGAAGGUUCAGCCCCUGUAUUGAAAGCCUCUGACUGCCUUUAAAGCAUGGUCCCCUGUGGCCUGUGAUUCUCCCCACCCCCAAGUCUGGCUGUGCUGUGGUAUUUAAGUAUUCAUUUGCCUAAUUACACAGGAGAUACAUGCAUGCCCAAGGCUGUGGACAUCUGCCCUCUGUCCUGCAAACACAGGUGUUCCUGUGUGCUCCAUCCUUCCUUUCUAUUGGUCUGGCAUAUUAAAAUGAUCUAAUAAA
rnacentral:lncRNA from 1 species